rnacentral:rRNA from 1 species
AGUGAACGCUGGCGGUAGGCCUAACACAUGCAAGUCGAACGGCAGCACAGUAAGAGCUUGCUCUUACGGGUGGCGAGUGGCGGACGGGUGAGGAAUACAUCGGAAUCUACUUUUUCGUGGGGGAUAACGUAGGGAAACUUACUCUAAUACCGCAUACGACCUACGGGUGAAAGCAGGGGAUCUUCGGACCUUGCGCGAUUGAAUGAGCCGAUGUCGGAUUAGCUAGUUGGCGGGGUAAAGGCCCACCAAGGCGACGAUCCGUAGCUGGUCUGAGAGGAUGGUAGGCCACACUGGAACUUGGACACGGUCCAGACUCCUACGGGAGGCAGCAGUGGGGAAUAUUGGACAAUGGGCGCAAGCCUGAUCCAGCCAUACCGCGUGGGUGAAGAAGGCCUUCGGGUUGUAAAGCCCUUUUGUUGGGAAAGAAAAGCAGCAGGUUAAUACCCCGCUGUUCUGACGGUACCCAAAGAAUAAGCACCGGCUAACUUCGUG